rnacentral:lncRNA from 1 species
GGUAAAUCCUUAUUUUCUUUUACACUCCAUCAUAUUUUAUAAUAUUCUCGCAUAUUUUUUGGUACUCUUUUUUUAGUAUUCCCUCAUAUUUUUGAUAUUCUCUCGUAAAUUUUUUUGAACAUCUUCAUAAUUUUUGGUGCACCCUUAUAUUUACAUCCUCUUUUGGCAAUUCCUCAAAAUUUUUUUUUGGUAUCCUCACAGGUAGUCACUCAUAAUUUUUUAUACAUCUAAG